UACGGAGGGUGCAAGCAUUGAUCGGAAUUACUGGGCGUAAAGGGCGCGUAGGCGGUCUAGAAAGUCAGAUGUGAAAUUCCGGGGCUCAACCCCGGAGCGGCAUUUGAAACUCCUAGACUAGAGGAUGGUUAGGGAAAACGGAAUUCCACGUGUAGCGGUGAAAUGCGUAGAUAUGUGGAAGAACACCGGUGGUGAAGACGGUUUUCUGGGCCAAUCCUGACGCUGAGGCGCGAAAGCUAGGGGAGCAAACAGG
rnacentral:rRNA from 1 species